AUGCACCCGAUACCACGCUUACAGAGCUGUUUGUUACCAGAAGAUACGGAUGAAAAUGCUGAAGUUAAAACACCCAGCUAUGAAAAAACACUCAAAAAACAGGAACACGCCUCGAUCAAGAGAAGAGGAAGAUCUCUGGAGAUGAGUAAAAGCCCAGUGCGUCCUCUCUGUCGAGGACUAUCUGAACCUGCAUCAGAGAGCAAACAGGAUGAGGUCACCGUUAUCAUGACGACAGAUACACAGGAUGCAGGUGAGGAUGGAGUCAGAGUUGCCGACACAGAAGAGGAGUCAUCACCCUCCCCAAGAAAAAGAAGGAAAGAAACAUGCUCAGACCUUGAAAAGGGCAAUAAGUCCCCAAACCAUGCUGAAGCUCCAGACGUCCCAUCUGAGGGAGAGACAGAAACAAUGGACAAAAUGCAUGAAGGAUCAGAGACAAACACCAGCACAUCACCAGCAGCAGAUACGGUGGCUCAGGAGGACAGUAUUCAGCCAGAGGCCACGGUACUUGAGGGCUCCGUUGAGCCCCAGGCGUCUCAGGGGCCACAGAUGGCCAAAGAUCAGCUUAGGAUUCCCCCUCACCCUCUUUCACCACACACCUCCACAACCAUGGCUCAGACGGUGGUCGUCACUCCUCUCAGCCGGCCGGGAUUUCAGCCUGUGUCGCCAUUGUUGGCAGACGGGUCGGACCGCACGGCUCUUGCUCAGAGACUCGCUCAGCUGGAGCGGGAAGCCAAGAGGCUAAAAAGAAUUCUGGGCAUCCGUGAGCUGGAGGUUGCCAUGGUGACGGAGGCAGAAGGGGGCGGGCCUUCUGAUGUCACCACGGGUGAUUCAGUGUCAUGUGAGCAAAAUGCGGAAAGAUUGAACCCAAUGUCAGUUGAAUCUAGGAGGGAGGAGCUUUCUGUUUGUCAGAAAUCAGAUGAACUGGCAAACCGGCCACCAUCCAGUUCAUCCCCCAUCCAGCAGGAGGCAGAAACGAGUCCGAGAGACGAGCUGUACUGGAGUAAGACAUUAGCCAAACUCCAGAGUGAGAACCAGACGCUGCUAACUGAUCUGAACGAGCUGAGAACAGAGAGAGACCACCUGCUGAACCGAGUGAGACAGACAGAGAGAGACCGGAGAGACCAGAGCACCAACACACCCAACCACACUUACAAUAGCAGUGUGACGCUGGAGAGGUUGCGGUCUAUCCGUCAGAAUGUGGUUGCAUUAUUGUCGUCCAUCCUGCCGAGCCUGGAUAUGCAGGGAAUCAGCUACGACACGACUGAUGUAGACAGCAUCCUACAGCAGAUCAUACAGGCCAACAACCUGUGAUCCUUCAGCCACAUUACAGAGCAGUGGCUGCCUUAUCACACACAAGCGUUUGGGAUCAACAAAUAACAAAAUUCAGCUGAAACCAUACAGAAAGCAGAAGUUUGAAGGACAGAUUUGAGACAGAUCGGUCACUGCAAAUUUGGUGCAUGGAAAUAACAGCAUUAAAAGGUCUCUUUUUUUUUCAUAAACAUUUGUUUUAUUGCAGGUAAAAGCUACUAUUCAUUUCACACACAAACACAUUUAAAUAAUUAUUUUGAAAGCUCACAUUCAUGUAAAUAACAUGCAUGGAUCUGACCAAAAUGCCUGCUGUCUCUGCAGUGCUGCAAGUUGAACUAAUUUCACAAUCGUGUCUCAAACAUUUGAGGUUUCACACAGACACUUCAUUGCUUUUCGUUUCAGCUGCAUUGCUCUUCUAGCACUUCAAUACACGCAUCUGUAGACAGCUUUCUGAUUAUAUUUAAACUGUUUUUAAAGGAAUAGUUCACCCCAAAAUUAAAAAUUGCCUAAAAUGUAAUGUACCCUCUGGACAUGCAAGAUGUAGAUGAGUUUGUUUCUUCAUGGGAACAGAUUUGCAGAAAUGUAGCUCUACAUCACUUGCUCACCAAUGGAUCCUCUGCAGUGAAUGGGUGCCGUCAGAAUGAGAGUCCAAACAUCUGAUUAAAAACAUCACAAUAAUCCACAAGUAAUCCACAUCACUCCAGUCCAUCAGUUAACAUCUUGUGAAGUAAAAGGCUGUGUUUAUAAGACACAAAUCCAUUAUUAAGGCAGUUUAACUGGCUUCCGGCCAAAAUACGAGUCCAUAAUCCAUAAUAUCGCUUCCACCACUGAAAAAGUCCAUCCCCUGUUGUUCUCGCACAUCAAAAUCCACCCACAUUUGUUUAGAUCUGUUUUGAACUAUUUUAACUUGUAAACAGUGCUUGAUCUGUGCAUAUUUCUCUCCUGAUUCAGACGAGACAACUUUUUCACUGGAGAAAGCAUAUUAUGGAUAGAGGACUCAACAGUUUUAAGUUUAAAAUGUCUUGAUUAAUUGCUUUUUAUUACAAACAUGCAGCUUUUCACUUCAUGGAGUGGUGUGGAUUACUUGUGGAUUAUUAUAAUGUUUUUAUCAGAUGUUUGGACUCUCAUUCUGACGGCACCCAUUCACUGCAGAGGAUCCAUUGGUGAGCAAGUGAUGUAAAGCUACAUUUCUGCAAAUCUGUUCCCAUGCACAAACUCAUGUGCCUCUUGGAUGGCCUGAAAAUUAGUACAUUUUCAUUUUUGGUUGAACUAUUACUUUAACAUACAAACUUUUAUUAUUAUUAUUUUUCUGUAACUAUUAAUUUUCUAUAAUAUUUUUUUAAAUGACUUUCAAUCCAUUAAUUUAACCACUGAUGGUUAAAUGAAACAGUUCUAAUUUUGCAAACGAAUACUAAUGCAACAUUUCACUGGGAGUCAUUUUCCUUUCUUCAUUACAUAAUAAAAGUCAUAAGUGCUUUAUUUUGGAAGAUGUU
ensembl:lncRNA